rnacentral:sRNA from 1 species
GUGUGCUCUCCUUUGAUAGCUUUGAUGAAGGACCAGACCAAAAAAAUGUCCCGCAUCAGCCAUUUAAACGUGGGCUACAAAGGUGAAAGUGUACAUAUGGAUGAAAAAAUCAAACGAGGAGACAUUGAUUUGAUUUAUGCAUCACCAGAGACAUUGGUUGGAGAACCAGAAUGGAGAACAGCUUUCCAGGGGCUAAAUGUUACCCUUAUAGUGGUGGAUGAAUUUCACACAAUAUAUACAUGGGGUCUACAGUCAGACAAAGGAAAAGAAGCAUUUAGAGGCUGGACUCAGAACUGCAGGGAAUUCAUAGUGACAUGGAAAAACACACCUGUUGUGACAUAUGUGAAGAUGAAUGUAAAUGUGGUGAUUGUUCACAGUUACAAUUGGAAAGACUUUUGAAAAGUAGUUCUAUUGAAACUGAUGAAAAUGUGUCAGAUUCUGAAUCUGAGGUGA